UCUAAUCUUUUGUGAAAUUAUUCCAGACCC
rnacentral:piRNA from 1 species